CUGCUCGCUUCGGCAGCACAUAUACUAAAAAUUGGAACGAAACAGAGAUUAGCAUGUCCCCUGCGCAAGGAUGACGCAAAUUCGUGAAGUGAUCCAUAUUAAA